CAAUCAAUUACCCAAUCCUGUGAACAUUGUCAAUUCCACAGGCAGUGGCAGAGCCAACCAUUGAUUGGCAGCAUUCCUGCGGACAACCUUAAACUAUCCGCUGCCAUAUUCUUCAGUGGUGCAUCCUUCCUGAAGAUGAACAAGGUGUUCGACCUUUUGAAGCUGAAAACCCACACCUAUGAUGCCUUCAAUCGGCAUGCCAGGAGGUAUCUCCAGCCAGCGAUAAUCCAUACCUGGAACAAGUGGUAAGGAGAUGCAUUUGAUGGCCUCGUUCACAAUGGUCCUGUCAUACUAGGUGGCGAUAUGCGAGCUGACUCUCCAGGUCACUCUGCAAAAUAUGGCAGCUACUCUGUAAUGAACCUGAGGACCAACAAAAUCAUCGACUUACAACUUGUGCAG